rnacentral:lncRNA from 1 species
AGGUCAGCCACCUGCAGCCAAGGAGAGAGGCCUCUGAGGAAACCAACCCUGCCAGCACUUUGAUCUUGAACUUCCAGCCUCCAGAACUGUGAGAAAGUAUAUUCCUGUUGUUUAAGCCACCCAGUCUAUGGCAUUUUGUUUUGGCAGCUUUAGCAGACUAAUAUACUUCCCCAUUCCCCCACAGUGCUUCCUGGGGUCAAUUCUCAGAUAAAUGAUUUGCACUUUAAUCCUUAUCUCAGGGGCCAGGUGGGAGGGGGCUCACGCCUGUAAUCCCAGCACUUUGGGAAGCCGAGGUGGGCAGAUCACCUGAGGUCAGGAGUUCAAGAGCAGCCUGACCAACAUAGUGAAACAUCGUCUCCACUAACUUUACAAAAUGUAGCUGGGUGGGGCGGCACAUUGCUGUAGUCCCAGCUACUCAGGAGGCUGAGGCAGGAGAAUCCCUUGAACCCGGGAGGUGGAGGUUGCAGUGAACUGAGAUCGUGCCACUGCACUACAGCCUGGGUGACAGAGUGACUUCGUCUAAAAAAAAAAAAAUUAUCUCAGGAAACCAACUCGCAGACCAACAACGCAUAUAUGGUGGGACAUAGACCCCAAGUAAGAGUGAAGCGAAGACUCAACUUUAACCACCACCCUCUAAGUUUCUUUUGAGGAGCUUGGAGAACGUCACUCCCUGUGGGUCUAAGUGGUACAGGCGCUAAAAAAUUAUUUAGGCAGAUAGUGAGGGUAAGGAAGUCCUCGGCUGUUUCCCUUUUAACAAAAAGCAGUCCCUAAAUCAUUUAUUUUCUAACAAAGAGCAGCCUGUAAAAUCGAGCUGCAGACAUAGAUAAGCAAGCUGGAAGCUUGCAUGGGUGAAUGCAGCAGCUGUGCCAAUAGGAAAAGGCUACGUGGCGGCCAGGCAUGUUCAACAUGGCGGCUCCAUCUUCCCUUUUCUUUGUCAACUAGGUGUACAGUAAGGAACCGACAACAUCACACCGGCCAGGUAGAGAAGCCAUUUGCAUAAUAGAAGAUUAGGGUGGGGUGGCCAGCUUCUUUGCGCGCUUUGUAAACAUCACACCUAGUCCACCAAUCUUUGGGCCCUAUGUAAAUUAGACAACACCUCCUCAAGCCAGUCUAUAAACCCUCCCCUCCCCGCACAUGCAUUUCACCGCAAAACCCAAAGACCCACUUAGGUGUCCCCUCUCUCCGCAGAAGAGAGAGCUUUUCCCUUUCUCUCUGUUAAACCUCUUCUCUUAAACUCACUUCUUGCGUGUCCUCGUCCUCGAUUUCCUUGGCGUAAGACGACGAACCUCAGGCAUUUACCCCAGACAACGAAGGUGCUUCAUAAGGUCAUGCAGCUGGGUCAACAUAGGACUGUGUAGCCAAGAGCUACAGGAUGGAUUGCUGAGGCCAGGGAGAUUGAAAGGAAGUCACAGCCCAAUCUCAGAGGGAUCCACGGAGCCAGCGAAAGCUAAGGCGGGACUUACCCAACAGAGGGUCCUGGCCCAGUCACCCAGUGGCACAACCCAACUGGGAGAUCUGAGCAUCUACCAACUGUGGCCACCAGUGAGAUGGUGUCAUUGUCUGGGUGCUGCUUGAGCAUCCACACAACAUGGCGCUAGCUUCCCCCAGAGGCCGCCUGAAAGCUUGUACAAGUGCCUGAGGAAAGCCGGAUUUGGCAGGCUGCAACCACGGUGGAUGACAGCUGAAGGAGAAUUACAGCAGCAGCAGUUAAGUAGAAGAUGUUCACACUUCCUCGCUCUGCAUCUUUCUUCCUGGAGCCCAACACCUCGGAGGAGAAUGGGAAACCCAGAAGAAGGAGUGGGAAAUCAGUUGCUCUGGGGGAAGCCAGCUGUCAUGUGACAAACAGCUCUCCACAGAGGAUUAUGGGGCAUGUAACUGAGGCCUCCAGCCAGCGGCCACGUCAGUGAGUUUGGAAAUAGGUCCUCUAGCCCAGUUGAGCCUUCAGAAGACGACAUGAGGAUUUGCUGCAGUUCUGCCCAACAUCUUGAUUUCAAGCUCAUGAGACAGCCUAAGCCCAAACCACCCAGCUAAGCCAUUCCUAGAUUCCUGACCCAAAGAAACUAUGUGAGAUUAUGUGUCUGGUAUUUUAAGCACUAAGUUCUGGGAUAAUUUGUUUUGAAGCAAUAGUUAAGAAAUACAAUGAGAUAACACUAAACGCAAUGAGAGAGCACUAAACACUAUACUUGGUGUAGAUAAGGUCAUGGAGCCACAGGAAUGCUCAUUUUGUGCUAGUGGAAAAGGAAAUUGGAAAAACCAUUUUGCAAUGUAUAACCAGGUGGCAAUAUCUACAGUUUUAAAGCUAUGCCUAUUAUAUGAUCUCACAGUUCCACUUCUAGGUAUAUAGUGCAUGAUCCUGUGCACAGGAGACAUGCACAUGAAUAUUCAUAGCAGGAAUGUUUGUAGUAGCCUCAAAUUGGAAACCAUCCACAUAUCCAUCAGUAAUGGAAUGGAUAAAUAAGUUUUGGUAGCAGUUGAGCCUUGAACAACACGAGUUUAAACUAUGUGGGUCCACUUAAUAUGCACAUUUUCUGGGUCCACUUAUAUGCAGAUUUUCUUCUACCUCUGCUACCCCUGAGAUGGUAAGACCAUCUUCCUUGAUCCACUUCCACAGUAAAUACAUUUUCUCUUUCUUAUGAUUUUCUUAAUAUCAUUUUCUUUUCCCUAAGCUUACUUGAUUGUAAGUGUACAGUAUGUGAUAAAAAUAACAUGCAAAAUAUGUGUUAAUCAACUGUUAAUGAUCAGUUAAUACUUCUGGUGAACAGUAGGCUGUAAGUAGUUAAGUUUUGGGGAAGUCAAAAGCAUAUGCAGAUAUUUGACUGUGUGGGGUGUUGGUAUCCCUAACCUCGUGCAUUGUUCAAGGGUCAAUUGUAUUUGUACAAUAAAAUGUUAUACAGCAAGGGUUGGAAGAUUUGUUCUGUUAAGGGCCAGAGAGUCAAUAUUUUAGGCUUUAAGGGCUGUACAGUCUCUGUCAUACCUAGUCAACUCUGCUGUUGUAGUAUGUAAGCAGCCACAGAGAAUAGGGAAAUGAAUAAGCAUGGCUAUAUUUCAAUUAUACUUUAUUUACAAAACAGAUGGGGAACUGGAUUUGGCACAGGGGCCACAGUUUUCUGACCAUUACUCUAUAAUAUUGAGAGUAAAAGGGGCCAGGUGCAGUGGCUCACAUCUGUGAUCCCAGCACUUUGGGAGGCUGAGGCAGGAGGAUUGCUUGAGGCCAGUAGAUCAAGACCAGUCUGGGCAACAUGGCGAGACCCCAUGAUAUGGUUUGGAUGUGUGUCCCUCCUCAAAUCUCAUGUCAAAUUGUAAUUCCCAGUGUUGGAGGAGAGGCCUGGUGGGAGGUGAUUGGAUCAUGGGGACAGGCUUUCCCCUUGCUGUUCUUGUGAUAGUGAGUUCUCAUGAGAUCUGGUUGUUUAAAAGUGUGUGGCACCUCCCCCUUCUCUCUCUUCUUCCUGCUCUGGCCACAUAAGACAAGCCUACUUCCACUUCACCUUCUGUCAUGAUUGUAAGUUUCCUGAGGCUUCCCCCACCAUGCUUCCUGUAGAGCCUACAGAACCAUGAGCCAAUAAACCUCUUUUCUUUAUAAAUUACCCAGUCUCAGGUAUUUCUUCAUAGCAGUGUGAGAAUGGACUAAUAUACCCCAUCUCUACAAAAAAAUUUAAAAAAUUAGCCAGGUGUGGUGGUGUGUGCUUGUGGUCCCAGCUACUUGGGAGGCUGAGAUGGGAGGAUCUUUUUAGCCCAGGAUGUGGAGGCUGCAGUGAGCCAUGCUCAGGAUUUUAGUCUGUUCUCACGCUGCUAAUAAAGACAUACCUGAGACUGGGUAAUUUAUAAAGGAAAGAGGUUUGAUGGACUCACAGUUCCACGUGGCUGAGGAGGCCUCACAAUUAUGGUAGAAGGUGAAGGAGGAGCAAAAUCAUGUCUUACAGGGCGGCAGGCAAGAGAGCAUGUGCCAGGAAACUGCCCUUUAUAAAACCAUCAGAUCUCACGAGACUUAUGCACUAUCAUGAGAACAGCACGAGAAAGAUCUGCCUCCAUGAUUCAAUUACCUCCCACAGCGUCCCUCCCAUGACACACGGGAAUUAUGAGAGUUACAAUUCAAGAUGAGAUUUGGGUGGGGACACAGCCAAACCAUAUCACUCAGGUUGGGUGACAGAGCAAGGCCCUGUCUCAAAAAAAUAAACAAGUAAAAUAAUAAAAAAAGAGAGAAUGAAAGAGCCCAGGUACAAACAAGAACAUAGAUAAGUCUUUGAAAAGUAUUGAAUGAAAGAAAUCGGACAUAAAAUAUGUACUCCUAUUUAUAAAAAGUUCAAAAGCAUGAAAAAUGAGACGAUAUUGUUGAGGGAGCAUCUUGAGGAGGUGAAACUAGAAGGCAAAACAAGGAAUUGAGUCUUUAAAAUGCCAGGAUUGUUGUUACUUUGGAGGGUAGAUAGGGGUGUGUAAUUGAGAAGGGGUACCUAAGGGACUCAUGGGGUGCUGGCAAUAACCUUAUUUAUUAAUCUGUUGGGGGUUUCACAGGUGUUUAUACAAUCUGGUAAGUUGUAUAUUUGUGUUUUGUGUUCUUUUCUGUAUUUGCAUUCUAUUUCUCAAUAAAUUGUUGAAGAAAAAUGAAUAUUAAGA